AGUAAAAUGGCUGAGUAAUAGGCAUUAGACUGUAAAUCUAAAGACAGGAGGGAGGCUCCUCCUUUUUACUA
ensembl:Mt_tRNA